GUGCCAGACUCCUACGGGAGGCAGCAGUGGGGAAUCUUCCGCAAUGGGCGAAAGUCUGACCGAGCAACGCCGCGUGAGUGAAGAAGGUUUUCGGAUCGUAAAACUCUGUUGGUAGAGAAGAACGUUGGUGAGAGUGGAAAGCUCAUCAAGUGACGGUAACUACCCAGAAAGGGACGGCUAACUACGUGCCAGCAGCCGCGGUAAUACGUAGGUCCCGAGCGUUGUCCGGAUUUAUUGGGCGUAAAGCGAGCGCAGGUGGUUUAUUAAGUCUGGUGUAAAAGGCAGUGGCUCAACCAUUGUAUGCAUUGGAAACUGGUAGACUUGAGUGCAGGAGAGGAGAGUGGAAUUCCAUGUGUAGCGGUGAAAUGCGUAGAUAUAAGGAGGAACACCAGUGGCGAAGGCGGUCUGCUGGACAGCAACUGACGGUGAGGCGCGAAAGCGUGGGGAGCAAACAGGAUUAGAUACCCUAGUACGU
rnacentral:rRNA from 1 species